UAAACGACUCUCGGCAACGGAUAUCUCGGCUCUCGCAUCGAUGAAGAACGUAGCGAAAUGCGAUACUUGGUGUGAAUUGCAGAAUCCCGUGAACCAUCGAGUCUUUGAACGCAAGUUGCGCCCGAGACCUUUGGUUGAGGGCACGUCUGCCUGGGCGUCACGC
rnacentral:rRNA from 1 species